rnacentral:rRNA from 1 species
AAUGAACGCUGGCGGCAGGCCUAACACAUGCAAGUCGAACGAGUGGCGGACGGGUGAGUAAUGUCUGGGAAACUGCCUGAUGGGGGGGGAUAACUACUGGAAACGGUAGCUAAUACCGCAUACCAUCAGCUGUGCCCAGAUGGGAUUAGCGUGUUGGUGGGGUAACGGCUCACCAGGGCGACGAUCCCUAGCCGGUCUGCGAGGAUGACCAGCCACACGGGAACUGAGACACGGUCCAGACUCCUACGGGAGGCAGCAGUGGGGAAUAUUGCACAAUGGGCGCAGUCCUGAUGCAGCCAUGCCGCGUGUAUGUGUAUGGCCUUCGGGUUUUAAAGUACUUUCAGCGGGGAGGCGUUACCCGCAGAAGAAGCCCCGGCUAACUCCGUGCCAGCAGCCGCGGUAAUAC